AUGAGGACUCAAACUCUUGCACUUCUGGUUCUCACUUUCAUUCCUUCAAUCCUUCAAAUGCAAAACAAACACAACCCUUUUCAAAUAUACUCAAUAUUGACCAUUUCCUAGAGAAAAUUUAUGUAUGGGGAGGUGAAGCACAAUCUCCGAUACUUAUUUCAGGACCUUUGGUGUUUGCUGAAGUCCUGAACUUCAUAGCUUCUGCCAUAUCUAGUGCUGGUGGAGUAGGUGGUGAUGGCCUUUUUAUACCUCAAAACUUCUUCAAGGCUCUCAGCUUUUAUGGUCACAGGAGGGUCUAUUGGUUAUGGGCAACAUGUGCACCACAAGUCCUAAAUUUCGGUGACAAGUCACUGAUUGACUAUGACAUAGCUCUUUCAUCACAACCAUGUAUGCAUGUUGCUGGGAGUGAGUCUCGGAGUUAUUUGCAACCUUGUAUUCCCAGAAUGAUUGAUCUACUUUUUGCCAUCUUUCUUGCUAGGUCUACCUCAAAAACUUGCACAAGUGGGUUGCUGUUUUGGAAGGUUGAAUCAGAAGAGAUGAGGAAAAAUGGACUUGAAGAACUUGAAAAGGGGCUGCUAGAAGAGGGUUGAAGAAAGGAAAGUGUUGGCACGUGUACAAAGAAAACAAUGAGCUAAAAAGUAUUGAUGUGCCUCUUCUGGUUCCUCAGGGAAAUACCAAAGUGAGGAUCCCUCUUUUGAAAUUGGUGGUUUUACUUUUGACAUGGUUCUCUUUUUUCUGUCUAUCUUCGUGGCAACAGAUACGGACAGGUAAAGUUUCUUUCUCUCUUCUUCCUGAAGUAA